AAAAAAAUGUGGGCGCCUGGGUGGCUCAGUGGCUCAGAAUGCUGAAGCCUCUGCCUUCAGCUCAGGUCAUGGUCUCAGGGUCCUGGGAUCGAGGCCCACAUCCAGCUCUCUGCUCAGCAGGGAGCUUACUUCCUCCUCUCUCUCUGCCUGCUUCUCUGCCUACUUGUAUCUCUCUCUCUCUCUCUUUCUCUCUCUCUGUCAAAUAAAUAAAUAAAAUCUUAAAAAAAAAAAAAAUGAACCACUACCAAAAAGAGAACCAGCACAUACAAUACACUGGCAAGUUCAAAUAACUCUAUAGGUAACAAAAUAAUAUGGAAAAUACUUUUAAAUAAGUAUAUUUAAAAUAUUCCCUUUAAAAAGGAAAGAAUAAAAUCCAAAAGACAAGAAUAAGGCAUAAUGGAAAAGAAAAGUAAAAUUUAAGAAGAACGAAAUAAAAUUUGUAGAAAUAAAAUAUUGAAAUAAAAACAACUCAGUGGAGUGGUUGAACAGUUGAUAACACUGCUAAAGAGAGAAUUAGUGAAUUGGAAGGCAAAUUGGAAAGUACCCUCCGAAAGUUAAAGUAAUGGAAAAUAUUGGGGCACCUGGGUAGCUCAGUUGGUUGAGCUACUGCCUUCGGCUCAGGUCAUGAUCCCGGACCUCCAGGAUCGAGUCCUGCUCCUUGGGGAAUCUGCUUCUCUCUCCAACCUUCUCCUCUCUCAUGCUCUCUCUCACUCAUUCUCUCUCAAAUAAAUAAAUAAAAUCUUUAAAAAAAAAAGUAAUGGAAAAUAUGAAGGAGAAGUUAAGAAGUGAGAAAUAAAAUGAGAAGUCCCAAUAGAGAUACUAGAAAUUCCAGAAGAAGAAAACAGAGAGAAAAAGGAGAGUAGCGAUAUAUAAAGAUUCAAAGGUGGCAAAUUGACCAGUAUUGAAUGAAAAAAAAAAAAAUUCCCAAUAAGAAGGAACACAGCUGGAUUUCCAGCAGAAUAAAUGAAAAUUUACACCUAAAAACAUUAGUGAUUCUGCAGAACAUCAAAGAUAAAAAAUCUUAAAAGCUACCAGCAUAAAGACAAUCAGACAGGCAGCAGGCUUCUCAUUAGGAGUGAUAGGAACCAGAAGAGAAAUAAUUACAACCUCAGAAUGCUAAAGGAAAUAACUGUCAACUUAGAAAACUAUACCCCAGGUAAUUAUCAUUCAACACAGAGAGGAUGAAAUAAAGACAAUUUCAGAUAAAAAUGAAAGAGGUUACCAUUCAUAGAUCCUUGCUAGAAGAAUUUCUAAAAGACUUCAGUGAGAAGGAAAUUGAACCCAAAAGGAAGAAUUAGGCUAACAGAAACCAUUGCGAGCAAAGAAAUUGGUAAAUAUGUAGGUAAAUCUUAACAACAAUAAUUCAUAUUAAUAACUUUUUGAAAGAGUACAAAAAUAUGGUGGAACUAAAAUACUAAUCAAUAAAUUACACGAGAAAUGGAAGAGAUUGAUUUAACAUUCUAAGAUCCUUCUGUUGUUUAACAAGAGAACAGAAAUACACAUUAACAUUAGUCUUUAAGUAACAUACGCAUGUUUUAAAAAUUAAGAAUAACUCUAUUUGUCUGGAAAUAGAAUGCUUAACUUCCAAACCAGUAAAAAAGAAAAUUAAAAAAAACAAAACAGAAUAAAGAAAACUCAUCAAUAUUAUAGAAGGUAUAGAAGAGGGAAUGCAAAAAAAAGAAAAAAUCAAAACAGAAAACACAGAGAUGGUAGAAGUCCAAAUGCAUUAAUCAUAAUAAAGGUAGACAUAUCAAAUUUUCCCAUUAAAAGAGACUUUCAAUUUGGGUUUUUAAAAAAUCCAGGCAUAGGAUGUUCACAAAAGACUUGCCUAAAAUAUAAGGUCACAGAAAAAGAUUGAAAAUGAAGAUAUAAAACAAGAUGUGCUAGGCAAAUAUUAACCAGAAGGAAUGUGGGCUAGCAACAUUGAUAUCAAACAAGAGUAUAAGAGCAAAAGCUCUUACAUUCAACACAGAGAGGUUGAAGGAUAAAGUGGGAUAUUACUUAUUGAUAAAAGGAAAAAUCCAACAAGGAGAUUUACUUAUCAGCUGGCUGGGGCAGUCCUGCCUGAUCCUGUCCAGGCGGGUCCACCCAAGAGAGGCUCCUCAGUCGUGAGGAGUGGAGGGGCAGCUCCCUGGUCUGGCUGCAUUGCUUUGUCUUGCACCUGCCUGGGCUGGGGACGGUAGAACAACACAGGGCACUGCUAGGAAAAGAUGUUUUUCUUAGGUACAGCUUAUAAUUGUUGCAUGAUUUAGGUACUUGUUUAUUAUAAACUUUUAGUAUUUGGAUUUUGUAAGUUUCGGGGGUGAGAAGAAACUGUUAACCAGAAUUCCCCAAAACCAGGCAGGGGUACCAACACCAGGCUGGCAAAGAGCUAAGUCCUCCACAAGAUACAAAAAUACCAAAUACCACUGAUACGCCCUUGGGAUUUCUCUCCAACUCAUUCUGUAAGUGGGAGGGACCCAAGGGGAUCUAGGAUUUGAGGCCAAAGUGGAGGGUUUGAUAUAUAACCUUUAGUGAAUCAGAUGACAGGAAGCCUGGGGUGAGGGAGGGGCAGUUACAAAGAGCAUGACUGAGACAAUUGAAGGGUUUUGCAUAUGAACUCAUAAAUGAGGCAAAAUUUAAAAGUACCUGAAAGUGAUCGUCACACUGUUCAGUACAGACGGAUAUCCCUGGUCUUAAAGAUAACUGCGGAAGUCUUUUGGGAUGAAGUGCCAUUCAGGUCAGCCGCUGACACACAAGGGUUUCAGAAAGAGAAGGGAGAGAUGGUUUAACCCAGUGUGGAAACAGUUACCAAUUGCUCUUCUGGGUCAGAGUAUAUGAGCAUUCAUUGCAACAGUGAACUUGGCUGGACAGUUUAAGGUACCUCAAAAUAAAAAGCUGGAAGAAAAGAAACAGUUUCAAAACAAAUACAGAGGCACCUAAUGAAAUAAUGGAUCUAGUCAAUGAUAGUAAAUGGCUGUUAAAACCAUUAAGUGAAAAGCUGAUGGAGGGAAAAAAGCUGAAGGAGAACUUUGUAAUGGAUAGAUCCGGCCAACAGCAACCAAACCUGCUGAUUAAUCUUAAUAUUAUAAAAAGAGAAGCGAUGAGAAAUUAUGUGGUCCUGAUGUGAUGUAAUAGGAAUUUCAUGCCACCCCUGAAAUAUUCUUGCCAAAAAAUCAAAUCUGAAACCAAGUGAUUCUGGAAUCUACCAAUUUCAAAGGACAGAGAAACAUGUUAAAUGAUACCACAGGGGUGCCCUCAGCAAAAUCCUGGAAUGAGGAGGGCAGUUCUGUAGGACAAAUGGCCCACAAUUUCUUCAACAAAUUGCAAGAAAGGGGAAGAAAGUGUAACCUAUGGAAUAAAAGAAGACUAAAAACCACAUUGACCACAUCCAGUGUGUGGGCCUGGAUUAGAAACCAAUUCAGGGAAAUUUGAAUAAGGAAUUAUUCCUUAUUCAAUUAUUCCUUACUCUGGUGAGAGGAAGGAAUUAUAAGCUCAUUUUUUAUUUAAGUGAGACGAUGCUACUGGGGUAAUGUUAAAAGAGUCCUUAGCUUUUAGAAAUGCAUAUUAAAAUAUUUGCGGGUGAGCUGAUUUGAUGUCUGUGUCCCAACAGUCCUGGCAGAUGGAAGAAAUAGGAUCGGCUCUAUGUAUUUAGUUGUUGAAACCAGCUAAUAGGUAUAUGGAUUUAAAAAUAUAUAUAUUUGAAACUCUCUCAGAAUAAAUUCUUGUCAAAUAAGUAAACCCAAGCCAUUCCAGUAUUUUCCCAAUAUAUUGUUGCCAAGAAGGCUCUUCAGUGUUAGAAAGAACAGCUUUUCCCUCACAAGUAAAACACAGGUGAGGUCUGAGAGAGAAUUCCAGGUGGAGGGUAAAACCCAGGCCCUUCAUGGGGGUCCACAUCCUCUUUCAAGUGGAGUGCCACUCACUUGGGGGUAGGGACUGUGUCCUUUGUGUUUCAAAUCAAACUGUUCCCUGUCAGGUGGAAGCAAAAGAUUACAUCUGGGCCGCUGCCUGGUCCAACCUGGGCUAAGGAAUGGGGUUUGCAAAGGCUGGUGGGUUGGGAUCAGGGUAGAGGGAGGACGUGUAAUUAGAUGUGUCCUUUUUGUGAGGCCUGGAUGCACUGGAGGUCUGAGAUCAGAGAUCAGGGUGGGGCUGGCGGGAUGGGUGUGUCACUAACGUGGGCGGGGUCAAGAGCUCACUUUCCUGGCCCGACCUUCACGGCCUUCAUGCCUUUAUCGUGGGUGCCAGUUCUCUGGGACGCAGAUGGAGGUCCCGCCCAUCUCUCCUCACUGGCCCUUGCGCAGCCGCAUCUGGAGGCCCAUCUCCUUCCCACUCCGUUUCCCUUUUUUCUCUGUCCCGUUCUCUGACCCAUUUACAUUCUCUCCCUCCUCGAGCUCCCUUCUUGUCUCCGUCCUCCGCCCUACCAGACACCCCAGUUCAGGGUCCAGGAGAAGGACAGCUUUUAUGUGGCUUGUAAAAUUCUAUUAUAUCUGUAUUCAAAACCUAGCAGCUGAGAAACACUGGUAAUAAGCGUGUUAUUAAGCGUGUAAAUACACUUCCACUCCAAGGCCUCCAAGGUGCAGGGGACGGUUUCCCAACCUGGGCAUCUCCCCUGCUUGUAAGUCUCUCCCCGCCUGGCCUCCAUCCCAGACUUAGACCUUGUGCCCAGGCCCAGGCCUCCUCCAGGCUCCAACCUCCUCCGUCCCGCACAACCCAGACUCUUGGAGAAAGAGGGCGGGGGAGAGGGCCGAAGAAAAAAAACAUUAGGAAAAAAACUCCCACCCAGAGAGCAUUCUUUCUGCAGCACUCAGGAAAAAGGAUGUCUCACAGGGGACGGGAAGGCGAAAUUUUUUCACAUCCAAAUGGAUUGCAAUUUCCCUCCAUUUAGCACCUGAAGGUAAUUAGCUCGAAGAGACUGCCGAGUGCGAAACACGUUCACGGAACAUUAACUCUCACACAUUCUCCAGUUGCAGGGAAUUAAUAGGAAAGAUUAAAGUUUAAAGAGAGCAAAAUGCCAUUACCUCGCCAGCCACCUCUCUCCGCGGCAGUAUCCAGCCCCCGAAAACCUUCGGCCAGUGCUUGGGCCGGGGUUCGGGUCUCAGCCGCCAGCCUGCCUGGCUGGGGCAUCUGGGUGUGUCCCAUGAAGAGGGCUAGCAUGUGCUGAUGUGCAUGCACAUGUGCAAAAAAAGGGCAGUUUUGACCCUUCAUGAGGCCCGUGCAACCCCUUUCCCAUCACCAAGAGGUCUGGAGUGGACAGGGCAGGUGUGUUCUCAUAGGCAGACUCCUGGCAUUGGUGUGUACGGUGGCCCCAGGUCGGGGCGAUGCUAGCAAGGGUUAGUAGCAUGGGUGUGCCCUGUGAUUUUGGUGCAGGGGGUGAGAUCUGGCAGCUUGGCUGGCGAGAGAGAAACGGAGGGUGUCACCCCCAUCUUGGGUGUGUACAGGGGCCCUGGGUGCAGUGAUGGAGAGUUGCUUCCACUCUUGUGGGGCAGGCAGGAGCCACAAACAUAGCCACAAACACACACAUGCGGGCUCCCCCUGCCCCACACAGACGGCCUCUGUCACUCUGCUUUUUUCAAAGUUUACGUAGGCUUCAAAUUUGAAGCGUUUCUGUGUUGCUUCAGUAUUUUAGGGAAAGAUGAAAGACAGAGAGAGGGAGACAGAGAGAGAGAGUGGGGGAGAGAGAGAGAGAGAGUGAGGGAGAGAGAGGGGCAGAGGCAGGCAGGAGAGAGAGAGCGCGAGAUGAAAUUGAGACAUGGAAGAAUUUAUUGCCCAGAAAAUUCCAUUCUGCUAUCUGAUUCAAAAAGUCCAGUCCCCCCAGCUUCGGAAAAUCUAUUUUCCACAUUUUAAUACCCUGCAGAACAGUCCUCAUAACUCAUCCGAGUGUGUUAAGCACAGUUUUAUUAGAUCUGAAACAAAUUUUGGUGGGGAGAUACUAUAGGUCAUUAACCAUGGAGUAAUUUUAUCCUUGUUUCCCUAAUGAUGCCAUAAUGGCGAGCGAAUUUCUUAACUAAAGACCAAAGAACAUUUUGAAGGUCAGUUUCAUCUGUGAGCUCCUUCAAGCGCUUCUCAGAGAAGAUUGGAAAACUCGCCGAUUUUUUGAAGAGUCAUUAAUAAUGUGAAAGCUGAAAGCACCCUCCAUUUGCGUUCCUGCUUUUUACCUUUUAAUUUUAUAUCGUCCCCGCUCAGAGCCCCGCUCCCACUCCCUCACCCUCCUCUGGACCUCCCGCCUGCCUACCCACCCCACGCAGGGAACAAGGCUGCCCGGUACUACCAGGUACCAGGCUAGCUGUGAGGGGCACACGGGGGCGGCAGCAGGGGAGGCAAAAGAGCCAGAGAGGCCAGAGCCCCGCCGAGAUGGGGCGCCUCAGCUGUAUUCCCAGCAUAGGGGGCACUGUGGGAGGGGAUUGUUAUAGGCAUGGGACACACGCGUGUGUGUGCAUGUGUGCAAAUGUGCAGUCCAGGGGACUGGGGUCUCUGGAUUGGGUGCUGGCCAUGCACACACAUGUUAGGGAUGGAUGGGGGCCUACUGGUCUCUCUAGGCAAGUGCCCCCUGUUGGAAGCAGGCAGGGAAAGGGAACUGAAAACCGGCCCUGGGUCUGGUGGCCUGGGCAGUGGGGUAGUGGGGGGACUUGCGGUGUCUCCCAAGAGAGAUGGACACUACAUGGAGGGCAUGAAACAAUUUACAGCAGCUUGUAAGCCCUGAUUACAUGUGUGUGCCAAUGAGCAUGUAUGUCCUGGAGGUGGGGAGGUCAUCAAGGCAAGAGCCCAGAGGACCUACCCUACUGACAAGUAUUUAGACACUAGAGACAGUGGCCAUUGUCUGCCCAUCCCUCACUCCUUAGACCACACAUCCCUUUCUCCCCAGGCCUGGAGCCCCUCAUUUGCCCACUUUACUUGCCUUCUGAUCUCCAAUCCCCGGUUCCUCGGACCUCCCGCCCCCCCAUCAGUCCUAUCCCUCCCCCUGAACCCUCAUCCCCCUACCUCUUCACCCAUCUGCUGGCAGUCAGUGCAGGGUGCCCAGCCAGGAGCUGGGGUGGGACAGCAUUUCUCUGUGUGUGCAGGUUUGGGGAGGAGGGGGCGGUGUGGUGACACUCCAUGCUCCCAGAUGUGGUGGCAGCGAUAAUUCCAAUUUUAUGCCUUUGUUAUGGCUUUAAUCACUUUCUUUAUGCGUUUUGUUCCAGCGAUCAGGGAGAGACACCUGAUAGGCAAAGAGGAUACCAGGGGAACCAUUUUUAUUUGGAAUGUGGUGAGAAGUCUAAUUAGAAUCUGAAUUCUGCUGAGCCUUGAAAUGGCCAGCACUUUAUCCUGAUCGCCUUAGAUAUUGUUUCGAGUCAAUCAUCUGUCAUGGUGCAGCAGGAGAGCCUCUCCCUUCACACCGCACCCCUCCCGCCACAGGGCCAGCCAGGGCACACUGGGGGAGGGGGGAGGCUUCUGCCCUUGUAGGGGUAUGUGCCUCCUUCUUAGGGGGAGGCCUGUUUGGUGUGGCUAACCCUCCCCUGGUGAGGGCUGUCUUUGCUGGGUGCUGAGUUUGAGCUCAUGGGGGGCAGAAGGGGAAGAGGGGCUGCAGGAAGAGGGUGCUGAGGGGCUUGUAUUAGAAUUAGGAGAUAUUGGGGCGAGGCCAAGCUAGUCUGGGGUACCUCCUAAGUGUUCCCAGCACAGUGACCACCCCAUCCCCUCUCUAUCAAUGGCCCAAAGGGACUCUCAUCUCUUUACUGUCCCCGGACAUAUUGUCUCUCUGCCACCUGCUCACUGUUCCUCAAACUCACCACUUUCAUUGCCAACCCCUCCCUCACCCAACAUUUGCUACGCGUUCAGCUUCUUUUCUUUGACUUUCCUCACUCCAGUCCCACCGCUGGAAUACCGUCCGGUUUGUUCUGCCAUCUGUCAAGUCCCCGGACUGGUUCCGCCUCCUCCAGAAAGCCUUCCCUGACUACCUGAACCCAUACAGACACUCUCAAGACACUGUCCUUUCUACAUCCAGUGGCUGCAGUGGGGGGAGAUGAAAAGGAGGAGAAACUGUUGGAUAAAAAGAAAUUCAAAAAAAAAAAAAUCUCUCGGGAGUCCUCUACCACUCGGAACUUUCAGCCGUCACCUCCCUGCAGGCAAUGGAAGCACUGAUCUCUAAUUCCAAGCUUCUCUUGAGACCCAAGCCCACAACCCCAGCAGCGCAAGCCUGACACUUGGACAAGCAGACUCUCGUGUCUCUCCUGAAGCCGGCAACAACCUGUGAGUCCCUGCUUCGAUGACUGCCAUGUCACCCACCCAUUCAACCUCGCAGAGACCUUGGAGCCUCCAGCCCUUCCCCGUCCUCAUCUUUACCCUCAGUUAGUGUACCCGUUCACAGACGUUUCCUGAUUUCUUUGGCACCCAUCUUUGCCUCACCAUCACCGCUGUCCCCUGGGAAGGCCCUUAUCACAGCUCCCCCAGGCCUCUCCAGUUCACCCAACAAGACCCACGCCAUGCCAGUCACCAGGUGCGGCAUCUGCCUCCCUGCACAGCUCUCUUAAGUCCCACGUCUCUGGUUGUUCUACACACCGCUGCCAGAUUCAUUUUCCUAAAGCACAGCUCUAAUCAUGUCGCCCCCUGCUCAAAAACCCUCAAUGGCUCCCCUACUGCCUACUAAAUAAAGUACCAACUCCUGACUCUGAUAUUCAUGGCCCAUUGUGAUCUGGCCCUUUCCUACCCCUCUCGCCAAGACUUUGUAGUCCUCUCCUUCAUGCCCAUACUUACCAGCCAGAUUGGCCUCUGGGUGCUUGCCCUGCACACUCCCCACCAAGCAACUCCCCACCUCUGUGCCCUGGUUCAUACUCUUCUUCUGUCUGCGAUGCUAUCCUUCUGAAAUGGCAGCACUGCCCAACACCCGGCUCAUCUCUGCCCAUCAAUGCCUUAAUCUUCUGUAAGACCCGAUCCAAGUAAAGUCGUCUUCUGAAUGCUUCCUGUAAAAUGCUUAGCAAGGUGCCUGCUAGAGUCUGUUCUUCUUAUUAUUAUUAUCAUUGUUAUUCACCACCAGCAGCAGUGAUUUCUCUUCCCUGGGAAACUUCCAGUCCCUUCUACAGCUUUCCCGGCUCUUGGCAUAAUUUUCUUGAUACUGUCAUUUCUAGUAUGUUUGCCCUACAGCUGUCCUGACCUACAAACCUCUUGAGAGCCAGGACUUAGUCAUGUUCAUUCUAGUCGUCCUCAACCCAUGGCCCAGGAGAUGCUCUCUUUACCACUUGUUGAAUAAAUGAAUGAACGAGUGAAUGAAUGAACCAAUACGGAAGAAGCAGCUUGGGCAUGGCUAUGUGACACAAAUCUGGCUCCUCUGAUCCUCCAGUUCUGGGCAGUGACCACCUAAGAAUUCCCUGCCAUUACUCCCGGCCCUCCUGACAUGUGUCCCGGUGAGCUGGGACAUGUGUGUGCAGGCUGCAUGACAGGUGUGUCAUCCCUCCAAAGCGAGAGGGGAGUGUGGCAGAGUUCAGCCUCCCCAACUCAUCAAUCAAAGGGCACUUAACUGACAGAACGCUCCUUAAAGCUGGCUCCAGGCUCUGCUGGGGUUGGGGGGCCCGGGAUGAGUGGGGGAUGAGGCCUGCCCUCUGGGGAGUCACAGCCUAGUUGCUCCUUCACUCCUUUAACUCAGACCACAGGAAGUCAAAGGGCUCCCCUGGGGACUGCUGACUGUGGACAGGGAUAUCAUGCUGAUGGCUGGGGUAAGGCCUGUCCUGCAAAGCUGAGCUGAAAUGCCACUUAAUCCAGAAGUGGUUCUUUUGCCCUCUUGGUUUAGAUCUUAGCGCCCCCUCCAGACUGGAGCUCCCCUGGGAGGUCAGUUGCCUUCUGCAGAAUUCCUCACUGCAGAGCUGAGAACCACACAGCUUAAAGCUGCUGAAUGGUUGAGUAGAUGGAUGCCGGGAAUAGUUGACAAAAUAAACGAGUAAAUGAGCAACUAACGAAACACAUGGGUGAACAAAGUGCUGGGCAGAUUGGCACAGAGUCAGCCCGCGCUGAGCAUCUCCUGUGUACCAGGCACUGUGCUCAAUCCUUCACCCGCACUCACUGAUUUACAACUCGCUCAGCCCUUGGAGUACGAGCUGUUAUGAUCCCACCAGGGAGAGGCCCCUGCAGCUCCGGGGAGUGAAGUAACUUGUGUGAGAGCCUCCAGCCCCGCUGGGAGGAACCCUGGGUCCCUGCCCUAAACUCUAGGAGUGGGGGUAGGGGGGGCGCGCCUGCUCCCUCCGGAGACCACCAGCGCUUGGGGACUUGCGAGGAGGAAGGUUCACACGUGGGGAGUACUGUAAGGUCUCUGUCCCUGCGCACGGAUGGGAGCCCCCUGGGCUCUUGGUUUUCACUCCUUUUCUUUCGGUCCCCCUUGGGAAUUAGGCGAAGUUCAGAAGAGACACAGCCGAGGUGCUCUGUUUCCCAAAAGGCGUCUUCCCAGCCCCCCUCACCCCCACGUCCAUUUCAGGGGGGAGUGACGGCCGCUG